rnacentral:tRNA from 1 species
GUUGUGGCUCAGUGGUAGAGUGCUUGCCUAGCAUGCAUGAGGCACUGGGUUCAAUUCUCAGCACCACA